AUUGAACGCUGGCGGCAUGCCUUACACAUGCAAGUCGAACGGCAGCACGGGAGCAAUCCUGGUGGCGAGUGGCGAACGGGUGAGUAAAGUAUCGGAACGUGCCCAGUCGUGGGGGAUAACGUAGCGAAAGUUACGCUAAUACCGCAUACGAUCUAUGGAUGAAAGCGGGGGAUCGCAAGACCUCGAGCGAUUGGAGCGGCCGAUAGCAGAUUAGGUAGUUGGUGGGGUAAAGGCUCACCAAGCCGACGAUCUGUAGCUGGUCUGAGAGGACGACCAGCCACACUGGGACUGAGACACGGCCCAGACUCCUACGGGAGGCAGCAGUGGGGAAUUUUGGACAAUGGGCGAAAGCCUGAUCCAGCCAUGCCGCGUGCAGGAUGAAGGCCUUCGGGUUGUAAACUGCUUUUGUACGGAACGAAAAGGUUUGGCCUAAUAAGCUGAGCUCAUGACGGUACCGUAAGAAUAAGCACCGGCUAACUACGUGCCAGCCGCCGCGGUAA
rnacentral:rRNA from 1 species